rnacentral:misc_RNA from 1 species
AACAUCGCGCACCUGCGGGAACCUGCGGAAGGAUCAUUACAGAGUUGCAAAACUCCCUAAACCAUCGUGAACGUUACCUAAACCGUUGCUUCGGCGGGCGGCCCGGGUCCUUCCCGGCGCCCAUCGGCCCUCGCGGGCGCCCGCCGGAGGUAAACCAAACUAUUGCAUUGUAUGGCCUCUCUGAGUCUUCUGUACUGAAUAAGUCAAAACUUUUAACAACGGAUCUCAGAUCGGAAGAGC